UAGGGAGUCUUGCACAAUGGGGGCAACCCUGAUGCAGCGACGCCGCGUGGGGGACGAAGGUCUCCGGAUCGUAAACCCCUUUUCUGAGGGAAGAGCAAGGACGGUACCUCAGGAAUAAGCCUCGGAUAACUACGUGCCAGCAGCCGCGGCAAAACGUAGGAGGCGAGCGUUAUCCGGUCUCACUGGGCGUAAAGCGCGUGCAGGCGGUGGUGUCAGUUGGGCGUGAAAUCUCCCGGCUCAACCGGGAGGGGCCGCCCAAUACUGCAUCACUUGAGGGCAGGAGGGGGAAGUGGAAUUCCCGGUGUAGCGGUAAAAUGCGCAUAUCGGGAGGAACACCGGUGGCGAAGGCGGCUUCCUGGCCUGCUCCCGACGCUCAGACGCGACAGCUAGGGGAGCGAACGGG
rnacentral:rRNA from 1 species